GCAGUUCAUGAAGAAAUGAAGAGAGUGAGUAGACUUCCACCAAGCAGUACAUAUGCAACUCAUCGGAUGCGCGUCCUUAACAAAAUCCUGCAACUUAUGUCCAUUCAGAGAACCACUUCACAGGAUGAGGAGUUGGAAUUGCUAUUUUCUGGGCUCUCUCUUGGAUGAUAAGAAGCAAAGAUCAUAUUUUCAGCCGUUGGUUUAUCAGAUACGCAGUGGAUCAUUUAUGUUGCUCACUUCGUCUUUGGUCUUCAGCUGCAUCUUCGCAAACCGUUUCUUUUUGAUGUAGAGAUGAUGCUUUGAUUAUUAAAUAAGUUAUACUGGUUAUAUAAUAGGUCUAGAAUUAAACCUGUUAUCUCAAUUAUGUGGUGGAUCAUCUGGCUGUCAAAGUUAGUUGAUUUCAACUUGAACUCUUGGAUUCCAGGUGAAUCAAUGCUCCACAGUACAAUAUUUUGAUGACUUUUUGGCUAAAGGAUCCUUCAAUUUACAGAUUUUUGUUUUGGC
rnacentral:misc_RNA from 1 species